UACGUAGGGUGCAAGCGUUGUCCGGAAUUAUUGGGCGUAAAGAGCUCGUAGGCGGUGUGUCGCGUCGGCCGUGAAAACCUGCAGCUUAACUGUGGGCUUGCGGUCGAUACGGGCAUCACUGGAGUUCGGCAGGGGAGACUGGAAUUCCUGGUGUAGCGGUGAAAUGCGCAGAUAUCAGGAGGAACACCGGUGGCGAAGGCGGGUCUCUGGGCCGAUACUGACACUGGAGGAGCGAAAGCGUGGGGAGCGAACAGGA
rnacentral:rRNA from 1 species